GAAACAAGUUGCUGGUACUUUAAAAUUGGAAUUAGCACAAUACAGAGAAGUUGCAGCAUUUGCACAAUUCGGAUCUGAUUUAGA
rnacentral:tRNA from 1 species